rnacentral:rRNA from 1 species
GUAGGUGGCAAGCGUUGUCCGGAAUUAUUGGGCGUAAAGCGCGCGCAGGCGGUUCUUUAAGUCUGAUGUGAAAGCCCACGGGCUCAACCGUGGAGGGUCAUUGGAAACUGGAGAACUUGAGUACAGAAGAGGAAAGCGGAAUUCCACGUGUAGCGGUGAAAUGCGUAGAGAUGUAGAGGAACACCAGUGGCGAAGGCGGCUUUCUGGUCUGUAACUGACGCUGAGGCGCGAAAGCGUGGGGAGCAAACAGGAUUAGAUACCCUGGUAGUCCACGCCGUAAACGAUGAGUGCUAAGUGUUAGGGGGUUUCCGCCCCUUAGUGCUGCAGCUAACGCAUUAAGCACUCCGCCUGGGGAGUACGGCCGCAAGGCUG